rnacentral:rRNA from 1 species
CACGUAGGCACCAAGCGUUGUCCGGAUUUAUUGGGCGUAAAGAGCGUGUAGGCGGUCUGGUAGGUCCGUUGUGAAAACUCGAGGCUCAACCUCGAGACGCCGAUGGAAACCAUCAGACUAGAGUCCGGAAGAGGAGAGUGGAAUUCCUGGUGUAGCGGUGGAAUGCGCAGAUAUCAGGAGGAACACCGAUGGCGAAGGCAGAUCUCUGGGCCAUUACUGACGCUGAGGAGCGAAAGCAUGGGGAGCGAACAGG